AGGAAUUCCCCGAAGCAACAGGGCUUCGGCACCUGCUGGGAGUCCCUCAGUCCCUCCUUUUACUUACAGGAUUAGCUCCUCUGGUUUGGUUCCACCCCAGGCACUCUCCAUCUCCUAACAUUUUAGUAGUCAGCUCUCAAAAGUUCGGGGGUGGGGGGGUGGUGGUAUCAAAAUUUGUAACUGAAAGUUUGGUUCCUGACCUUGAAGCCAGUUAAUGCCAAUUUAAUAAUGAGGACAGGGUUUUGAGAAAAAGAAAAAGGGGGGUUUAUUGCUUUGCUAACAAAGGAGAAACAUGGGGGACUCUGCCCAAAGGUUGUGACUCUCUUGAUCUGGAGGGACAAGGGGUUUUAAAGGAAUCUCACUUGUUAACCUGGGAGAUACUCAGUUCUUAGGUCCCCAGCAGGCAUUGCCCUCUGCAGGGGUGUGCUCCAGGCAGCCAGCUAGGGGCUUCUCUCAUCCUGCUUAACAAAGUGGGGUAAAGUUCAUCACAGUUCCUUAAAACACAGUCCAAAGGUGUGUCAGGCUUACUUGCUUUAUUACCCAUUUUCACGUCCAAUAUCCUUAAGUUUUUACCACAGAAAUCACACAACAAAACGCACAAAAACAAGCAAACAAAAAACAUAUAGAACACAGAACAAAACACAAGAAAACAGAAACCCGGCACCGAAACAGCAAAACAGAGGAGCAAUGCAAUGUUUUGCUAAAGCUCAGGGGUAGGAGUGCGUGCGUGCCCGUCGGCACCUCUCUACCCUUCCAGAGGAAUUCCCUACAGAACAGAACAGAGGACAGAACCAUUUCUCGUUACUGUCCGGACAGGAGUAUAUGUGAGCCUCACCAGGCCACCUCUCUGUCAUCAGAAGAGAUCUCCCUUAACCGGAUACCAGAUGUUAUAAAGCCUCCACUUACCUAUGGAGGCCUCCUCCACCAGGUGCUUGCUGAUAGUUUUAGUGUGGCAGUUCACUGCAGUGCUCCGGGGACCGAGGGCUCACUCCGAGGCCUUGGAACGUCUCAAGGUGCGCACCCCCUAGAGUGGCUCUCCAGCCUGGAGCCCUGGAGUGAAGGCCGGCUUCAGAAUUUCCAGCACUCUGGUCUUGUGAUCUGGUUGGGCAGGGUCAUCUCUCUGGGGCCUCCAAAAUGUUAGACCAGGACGCAAGAAAAGACCACUGACUCCAAUUAAAAUCAAAUUAAAGCAAGCUUAUUAUUUCAACCAGCUGGGCUGCCUCUCCCUCCCAAAACGGCAGGAACAAGACAGCACCCCACCUUUCCUACAGCCCAGCUUUAUAGCCCAGCAAGUUACACAAAAGGGGGGUUACAGAUAACAGAACUCUGACAAGCAUCACACUAAUGGUAGUUUACAUUUUUUUUUUUUUGCUGGCCCCAACAUCAGAAUUUAUGAGGACCAUUAGAGCCUCAGAGAGGGUCGUUGUCUGGCCAGGGAAGGCCAAUAUUUAUGAGGUGUCACUAAGUUUCAGAGAGGGCUGCUAUCUGGUCAGAGAGCCAGGCAUGGGUGAGUUCAAGGCACGGGCAGGCAUUCCAAGCAGGUUCAGAAUUUGCAGUAAUUUAUAGUAAAGCUGAAAUUAUCUUUUCAUGGUUUUGUGCGAGAUGCCCAAUUUUAAGAAAAGAUCAGGUUGGGUCUAUCAGGGGGUGCAGCCCACUGGUUGAGACCAGGAUGAGGCUGGAGGCCUCUGGCUCCUGGGGUGGAGAGCUGGCUCUGCUUCUGCUGGGGCUGCCGGGCUCUGUGGAAUAGCUGCUGGAGGCCAAGGGCACAGAGCUCUAUGUGGCUGUGCAGUCACCUCAAACCCCCAA
rnacentral:lncRNA from 1 species